UACGUAGGGUGCAAGCGUUGUCCGGAAUUACUGGGUGUAAAGGGUCCGCAGGCGGGCAAGCAAGUCGGUGGUGAAAGCUCACGGCUCAACCGUGAAAUUGCCUCCGAUACUGUUUGUCUUGAGUUCGAGAGAGGAUGAUGGAAUUCAUGGUGUAGCGGUGAAAUGCGUAGAGAUCAUGAAGAACACCAGUAGCGAAGGCGGUCAUCUGGCUCGAUACUGACGCUCAGGGACGAAAGCGUGGGGAGCAAAC
rnacentral:rRNA from 1 species